rnacentral:rRNA from 1 species
UUAAGCAUAUCAAUAAGCGGAGGAAAAAGAAACCAACCGGGAUUGCCUCAGUAACGGCGAGUGAAGCGGCAACAGCUCAAAUUUGAAAUCUGGCUCCCUGCGGGGUCCGAGUUGUAAUUUGUAGAGGGUGUUUCGGGUGCGGUGCCGGUCUAAGUCCCUUGGAACAGGGCGUCAUAGAGGGUGAGAAUCCCGUCUGCGACUCGGCCGCCAACCCCGUGUGAAACCCCUUCGACGAGUCGAGUUGUUUGGGAAUGCAGCUCAAAAUGGGUGGUAAAUUUCAUCUAAAGCUAAAUACCGGCCAGAGACCGAUAGCGCACAAGUAGAGUGAUCGAAAGAUGAAAAGCACUUUGGAAAGAGAGUUAAACAGUACGUGAAAUUGUUGAAAGGGAAGCGCUGGCGACCAGACCUGUCCCCGGGCGAUCAUCGGCCAUUCGUGGCCGUGCACUCGCCCGGACGCAGGCCAGCAUCGGUUGCGGCGGCGGGACAAAGCGCCCGGGAACGUAGCUCCUUUCGGGGAGCCUUAUAGCCCGGGUGGUCAUGCCGCCCGCCGCGACCGAGGACCGCGCUUCGGCUAGGAUGCUGGCGUAAUGGUCGUCAGCGACCCGUCUUGAAACACGGACCAAGGAGUCUACCAUCUAUGCGAGUGUUUGGGUGUCAAACCCAGGCGCGGAAUGAAAGUGAACGGAGGUGAGACCCCGCAAGGGCGCAUCAUCGACCGAUCCAGAAGUCUUCGGAUGGAUUUGAGUACGAGCAUGGCUGGUGGGACCCGAAAGAUGAUGAACUAUGCCUGAAUAGGGUGAAGCCAGAGGAAACUCUGGUGGAGGCUCGCAGCGGUUCUGACGUGCAAAUCGA